rnacentral:lncRNA from 10 species
GAGGUCAGGAGUUCGAGACCAGUCUGGCCAAUAUGGUAAAACCCUAUCUCUACGAAAAAUUAGCCAGGUGUGGUGGCAGGCAUCUGUAAUCCCAGCUACUUGGGAGGCUGAGGCAAGAGAAUAACUUGAACCUGGGAGGUGAAGGUUGCAGUGAACUGAGAUCACACCACCGCACUCCAGCCUGGGCGACAGAGCGAGACUCCAUCUCAAAAAAAAAAAAAAAAAAGAGAUAGCAAGAGACGCCAGAGAUUGCUCCCUCUCCAUGCACACACAGAGGAAAGGCCAUAGGCAGGUGCAGACACAGCAGGAUGGCAACCAUCUACAAGCUUGGAAGAGAGGCUUCACGUGGAACCCACUCUGACUUCCAGCCUCCAGAACAGGGAGAAAAUAUUAAUAAAUUCCUGUUGAUUCAGCUUCCCAGCCUGUGGUAUUUUGUGAUCACAACCCAAGCAGACAAAUACAUGUCUGCCAUCACUAUUUGAGUUGAGGAGAGUUUUAUGAAUCAGUGUCAACUAGUGCAAUCAUUUUGGAAAGCUAACAGUCCAACUGUAUUCAGUAACAAUACGGGGCCAGGCACAGUGGUUCACACCUAUAAUCCCAACACUUUGGGAGGCCAAGGUGGGAGGAUCCCUUGAGCCCAGGAGUUCAAGACCUCCCUGGGCAACAUAGUGAGACCCCACUUUUUCCUCCACAAAAAGGAAAAAAAAGGACCAAAAAUAUAUAUAUACACAAGGAUGCUGGUUUGCAUGAAGUUAAAUACUAUGACUUAAAUAUGAAUGGUAGAGCCAUUCAAAGCAAUAGUAAAAAGGCAUAAAUGAUAAUUAAGACUAGCAAAAUCGAAGAAUUUUUUUUUUUUAGACAGAGUCUCGCUCUCGCUCUGUUGCCCAGGCUGGAGUGCAAUGG